rnacentral:lncRNA from 1 species
CUGAGGACCGAACCCAGGGCCUUGCACUUGCUAGGAAAAGAAUAAAUCAUUCUAUUUCAUAAAGAAAGGAGAUGAGAAUGAAUGAAAAGUUACAUAUCCAAAGGUUAACCCAAUUAUUUCAAGAGACAAAUGGAAGAUUCUACAAUGUCAUAGUUAUUACAAAAUAUAUGUGUGUGCCUGAGUGUGUACCAUGUUCAUGAAGGAGCCUGAGGAGGUCUGAGGAAGCACUGGAUGCCCGAGAACUGAAGCUACAGAUGGCUGUGACCCACCAUGUCAGUGCUGGAGCCAAACGAACCCAGGUAGUCUACAGGAGCAGCAAGUGCUAUUUUCUAUAAAGACUUAAUACACAACAGGCCUAGGGGUGCAGCUCAGCAGUAAAGAACGGACCUC